rnacentral:snRNA from 1 species
AAGCCCGGGCUUUUGAUACGCU